rnacentral:lncRNA from 1 species
GUUAAUUAAGGGGUAAUUAGCGCUGUUUUGGCUUAAAUUGCACUAAUUAGGGGGUAUUUUGGGGUUAAUUGGGGGCAAUUAGGGAGGCAGAGUAAUUCCUAUUGUUGGAUGGGCGUUGUUGGGGCCGUUGCUCAUUAAUGAGCUGUUAAUUGUGUAAUGUAUAAUUAAAGUGUGUUCAUUAUGGUGAUUAUAGGUUUGCUGGGAGUCUGUUGUGUUGUUAAUUAACGACAUCAUUAAAGGAAAUUAAUGAGUGUGUGAAUGAGGGCGGGUCCACCAAGGGAUCAGAAGUGGAUCUGCUUUGGGAGUGUUAAUUAUGCUAAUUAGCAUAGCUGAUUAAUGCUAAUUUACGCUAAUUAAUCCCAAUCCAUAUUUCCUCACGGUGAAGCUCCAUCCCAAAUUAAUAGCCCCCCUCAUUAACGAUGAGUCAUUAAUUAGGGGCUGUUACCAUGGAGACCAUAAACCCCUCCCACCCGCAUUAGCCCCGCCCCUCAUUACCAUAAGCACCGCCCCUCCCCCAUAUCAAGAUAGAGCUUUAUUGAGCCACCAAAGGGGGCGGGGCACAGCGCGAGGGGGCGGGGCUCGACAUGCAAAUGAGGCGCGGCCGCAAAGCAUCCUGGGAGAGCUGGGAGGGGGGGCGGGGAUUGCCGGCCUUUGCCAUGGCGACCGUGGGCAGAUUAUGGGAUGGAGAGCGUGGGUUUCUGCCCUGUUGCCAUGGCAACCACCCUAACAACGCUUUUCCUGAGCCGUUGCCAUGGCGACUAUGACCUCCCCCUUAUUAUGGGAUGCCGUAGCAACGCGAUUCCCCUCCCCCCGUUGCCAUGGAAACGCUCCAGACGCCAUCGCUGCCGUUUCCACCCCGUUGCCAUGGCAACGCCGACUCGCCUUCGCUCUGUGACGUCAUCAACCCUUAUUAUGGGAUGCCAGGCACCUGAUUUCAGGCCCCCCGUUGCCAUGGCAACAACGAGGCUUUCACCUCCAUAGCAGCAUCCCCGCCCCCGCCCCUUAUUAUGGGAUGCCAGGCGCCGAUUUUUGUCCCCGUUGCCAUGGCAACGCUGUCGGUUUUGCGGGGGCGUCCACAGUUGCCACGGCAACGGCGACGCUGGCAUCACCCCCCCACCUCCCUUAUUAUGGGAUGUCAGCAAUGCAGUUUAUUCCCCGUUGCCAUGGCAACGCCAUUUUGUGGGCG